rnacentral:rRNA from 1 species
UACGUAGGGUGCAAGCGUUAAUCGGAAUUACUGGGCGUAAAGCGUGCGCAGGCGGUUAUGUAAGACAGUUGUGAAAUCCCCGGGCUCAACCUGGGAACUGCAUCUGUGACUGCAUAGCUAGAGUACGGUAGAGGGGGAUGGAAUUCCGCGUGUAGCAGUGAAAUGCGUAGAGAUGUGGAGGAAUACCGAUGGCGAAGGCAGCCCCCUGGGCCAACACUGACGCUCAUGCACGAAAGCGUGGGGAGCAAACAGG